rnacentral:rRNA from 1 species
AUAUCAAUAAGCGGAGGAAAAGAAACCAACAGGGAUUGCCUUAGUAGCGGCGAGUGAAGCGGCAAAAGCUCAAAUUUGAAAUCUGGCACUUUCAGUGUCCGAGUUGUAAUUUGAAGAAGGUAUCUUUGGGUCUGGCUCUUGUCUAUGUUUCUUGGAACAGAACGUCACAGAGGGUGAGAAUCCCGUGCGAUGAGAUGUCCCAGACCUAUGUAAAGUUCCUUCGAAGAGUCGAGUUGUUUGGGAAUGCAGCUCUAAGUGGGUGGUAAAUUCCAUCUAAAGCUAAAUAUUGGCGAGAGACCGAUAGCGAACAAGUACAGUGAUGGAAAGAUGAAAAGAACUUUGAAAAGAGAGUGAAAAAGUACGUGAAAUUGUUGAAAGGGAAGGGCUUGAGAUCAGACUUGGUAUUUUGUAUGUUACUCUCUCGGGGGUGGCCUCUACAGUUUACCGGGCCAGCAUCAGUUUGGGCGGUAGGAUAAGUGCAAAGAAAUGUGGCACUGCUUCGGUAGUGUGUUAUAGUCUUUGUCGAUACUGCCAGCUUAGACUGAGGACUGCGGCUUCGGCCUAGGAUGUUGGCAUAAUGAUCUUAAGUCGCCCGUCUUGAA